UACGAAGGGGGCUAGCGUUGCUCGGAAUCACUGGGCGUAAAGGGUGCGUAGGCGGGUCUUUUAAGUCAGGGGUGAAAUCCUGGAGCUCAACUCCAGAACUGCCUUUGAUACUGAGGAUCUUGAGUUCGGGAGAGGUGAGUGGAACUGCGAGUGUAGAGGUGAAAAUUCGUAGAUAUUCGCAAGAACACCAGUGGCGAAGGCGGCUCACUGGCCCGAUACUGACGCUGAGGCACGAAAAGCGUGGGGAGCAAACAGG
rnacentral:rRNA from 1 species